CAAUUAGCUUGAGGAAAACGUUUACUCUUGCUUAUGUGAAGCUUGGGUAAGGUUGUGAAUAAAUAAUUGGAGCUUGAAAUUGUGAAUACUGGAACUUGGAGGAAGCGGAUUAGUUGAAGUUUUAAGGGCUGUGUUCUUUUAGGAAAAUUGUCUUGGAAUAAUACUUGGGAAUCGGCUAAGAUGCAGGUCGAGAGGCAUCUCGUUAGGCGUCUGGACUCUUGAAGCGGAGUGGUUACUGGGUUAUUUUGUUAUGUUAUGAUGUAUAUAUAUGUACUUAGCUUUCUCUCCACAUAACUUAUUCUUUUUGAUCCUCCUAGAGGUGUAUGGAGAGGCAGAAUUUUGUUUAUGUACAUUUGGGUUUUGGAUAUGUAUAUAUAUGUAUAUAUGUAUGUAUAUUCUCCGGCCAGUCUUGAC